rnacentral:lncRNA from 1 species
CAAACCAGAGUUGGCUGAAAUACUCAAGGUUAACCUGGUAUUUAAUAUGAGAAUGUCGAAGCCUAUAUGUGCAGAACAAGGGGAUCCGAUCGAGGUAAGUCACAAUGUGAGCAAGUAAGAGCGGUGGACUCUUGCAAACGAGAUGUACCAAAAAGGAGAUAAACAGUUUGAGUUAGGGGACGGCGGAAGUUGAAUUAAAUGUUCCUAGGGACGAGACUACCUGAUAGAGAGGCUAGUCAGGAAUCAAUUGAGGCAUUGAGAAAGCUCCAAGGUGAGUCAAACCAGUGUCAUGCCAAGGACGUAAUGAGAGUGUUGCGAGAAUGAAUGGAGGAGAAUGUCACGGGCUGCGGAUCAAAACCCGUGACCAUUGCGCAAAGAAUGCCCCAUAGAGGUCAACUUAUUAAAUAAGGUUCAUUUGACCCACAUGAAUUGACCCGAUUAGUGGAACCCAUAGAGAAGCUCAUCUACUUAAAGCCUUGGUGACCCAAUUAAGCACUCUAGUAAAACUAGAGUUACCAAGGUAAAUAGUGUAAAUCCUAAAGGGAUAAGAUUGUAUAGAGUUUAAAUCCUUUAGAACUCUCAAUUGUAUAUAGGCUCUAAUCUGUCUUUUUUAUAAAACUAACCCAAAAAUUUUAAUUAAUUACAUAAAUAAGCUAUUUUUUGGUAAAAUACGUAAAUAACCUAAAAUCUACAGUAAAAGUUGGUGGAGCCAAAGUGUUUGGCACCACCAACAUGCCACGUCAGC